rnacentral:rRNA from 1 species
AUUGAACGCUGGCGGAAUGCUUUACACAUGCAAGUCGAACGGCAGCACGGGAGCUUGCUCCUGGUGGCGAGUGGCGAACGGGUGAGUAACAUAUCGGAACGUACCCCGUCGUGGGGGAUAACUCUCCGAAAGGAGUGCUAAUACCGCAUACGACCUGAGGGUGAAAGCGGGGGACCUGCAAGGGCCUCGCGCGAUGGGAGCGGCCGAUAUCGGAUUAGCUAGUUGGUGAGGUAAAGGCUCACCAAGGCGACGAUCCGUAGCGGGUCCUGAGAGGACGACCCGCCACACUGGAACUGAGACACGGUCCAGACUCCUACGGGAGGCAGCAGUGGGGAAUUUUGGACAAUGGGGGGAAACCCUGAUCCAGCCAUUCCGCGUGAGUGAAGAAGGCC